rnacentral:rRNA from 1 species
UACGUAGGGCGCAAGCGUUGUCCGGAAUUAUUGGGCGUAAAGAGCUCGUAGGCGGUCUGUUACGUCCGCUGUGAAAACCCAGGGCUUAACCCUGGGCUUGCAUUCGAAACUGACGAGCUCGAGUUCUGGAGGGGAAAGCGGAAUUCCUGGUGUAGCGGUGAAAUGCGUAGAUAUCAGGAGGAACACCGGUGGCGAAGGCGGCUUUCUGGACAGAAACUGACGCUGAGGCGCGAAAGCUAGGGGAGCAAACAGG